rnacentral:rRNA from 1 species
AAAUUGAAGAGUUUGAUCAUGGCUCAGAUUGAACGCUGGCGGCAGGCCUAACACAUGCAAGUCGAACGGUAACAGGAAGCAGCUUGCUGCUUUGCUGACGAGUGGCGGACGGGUGAGUAAUGUCUGGGAAACUGCCUGAUGGAGGGGGAUAACUACUGGAAACGGUGGCUAAUACCGCAUAACGUCGCAAGACCAAAGAGGGGGACCUUCGGGCCUCUUGCCAUCAGAUGUGCCCAGAUGGGAUUAGCUAGUUGGUGAGGUAACGGCUCACCAAGGCGACGAUCCCUAGCUGGUCUGAGAGGAUGACCAGCCACACUGGAACUGAGACACGGUCCAGACUCCUACGGGAGGCAGCAGUGGGGAAUAUUGCACAAUGGGCGCAAGCCUGAUGCAGCCAUGCCGCGUGUAUGAAGAAGGCCUUCGGGUUGUAAAGUACUUUCAGCGGGGAGGAAGGUGUUGUGGUUAAUAACCGCAGCAAUUGACGUUACCCGCAGAAGAAGCACCGGCUAACUCCGUGCCAGCAGCCGCGGUAAUACGGAGGGUGCAAGCGUUAAUCGGAAUUACUGGGCGUAAAGCGCACGCAGGCGGUCUGUCAAGUCGGAUGUGAAAUCCCCGGGCUCAACCUGGGAACUGCAUUCGAAACUGGCAGGCUUGAGUCUUGUAGAGGGGGGUAGAAUUCCAGGUGUAGCGGUGAAAUGCGUAGAGAUCUGGAGGAAUACCGGUGGCGAAGGCGGCCCCCUGGACAAAGACUGACGCUCAGGUGCGAAAGCGUGGGGAGCAAACAGGAUUAGAUACCCUGGUAGUCCACGCCGUAAACGAUGUCUACUUGGAGGUUGUGCCCUUGAGGCGUGGCUUCCGGAGCUAACGCGUUAAGUAGACCGCCUGGGGAGUACGGCCGCAAGGUUAAAACUCAAAUGAAUUGACGGGGGCCCGCACAAGCGGUGGAGCAUGUGGUUUAAUUCGAUGCAACGCGAAGAACCUUACCUGGUCUUGACAUCCACGGAAGUUUUCAGAGAUGAGAAUGUGCCUUCGGGGACCGUGAGACAGGUGCUGCAUGGCUGUCGUCAGCUCGUGUUGUGAAAUGUUGGGUUAAGUCCCGCAACGAGCGCAACCCUUAUCCUUUGUUGCCAGCGAUUAGGUCGGGAACUCAAAGGAGACUGCCAGUGAUAAACUGGAGGAAGGUGGGGAUGACGUCAAGUCAUCAUGGCCCUUACGACCAGGGCUACACACGUGCUACAAUGGCGCAUACAAAGAGAAGCGACCUCGCGAGAGCAAGCGGACCUCAUAAAGUGCGUCGUAGUCCGGAUUGGAGUCUGCAACUCGACUCCAUGAAGUCGGAAUCGCUAGUAAUCGUGGAUCAGAAUGCCACGGUGAAUACGUUCCCGGGCCUUGUACACACCGCCCGUCACACCAUGGGAGUGGGUUGCAAAAGAAGUAGGUAGCUUAACCUUCGGGAGGGCGCUUACCACUUUGUGAUUCAUGACUGGGGUGAAGUCGUAACAAGGUAACCGUAGGGGAACCUGCGGUUGGAUCACCUCCUUACCUUAAAGAA